rnacentral:rRNA from 1 species
UGGGGAAUAUUGCACAAUGGGAGCAAGCCUAAUGCAGCCAUGCCGCGUGUGUGAAGAAGGCCUUCGGGUUGUAAAGCACUUUCAGUUUUGAGGAAAAAGAAGUCGUUAAUACCUGCUUGACGGGACGUUACCAACAAAAGAAGCACCGGCUAACUCCGUGC